rnacentral:rRNA from 1 species
GAUGGACGCUGGCGGCGUGCCUAAUACAUGCAAGUCGAGCGAACAGACGAGGAGCUUGCUCCUCUGACGUUAGCGGCGGACGGGUGAGUAACACGUGGAUAACCUACCUAUAAGACUGGGAUAACUUCGGGAAACCGGAGCUAAUACCGGAUAAUUUAUUGAACCGCAUGGUUCAAUAGUGAAAGACGGUUUUGCUGUCACUUAUAGAUGGAUCCGCGCCGCAUUAGCUAGUUGGUAAGGUAACGGCUUACCAAGGCGACGAUGCGUAGCCGACCUGAGAGGGUGAUCGGCCACACUGGAACUGAGACACGGUCCAGACUCCUACGGGAGGCAGCAGUAGGGAAUCUUCCGCAAUGGGCGAAAGCCUGACGGAGCAACGCCGCGUGAGUGAUGAAGGUCUUCGGAUCGUAAAACUCUGUUAUUAGGGAAGAACAAAUGUGUAAGUAACUAUGCACGUCUUGACGGUACCUAAUCAGAAAGCCACGGCUAACUACGUG